GGGCCGGUAGCUCAGUGGUAGAGCACUUAUCUGAUAAGUAAGGGGUCGAUGGUUCAAUCCCAUCCCGGCCCA
rnacentral:tRNA from 3 species